UACGUAGGGGCCGAGCGUUGUCCGGAGUUACUGGGCGUAAAGCGCGCGCAGGCGGCUCGUCAAGCCUGACGUGAAAGCCCCCGGCUCAACUGGGGAGGGUCAUUCGAUACUGAUCGACUGGAAGGCAGGAGAGGGAAGCGGAAUUCCCGGUGUAGUGGUGAAAUGCGUAGAUAUCGGGAGGAACACCAGUGGCGAAGGCGGCUUCCUGGCCUGUUCUUGACGCUGAGGCGCGAAAGCUAGGGGAGCAAACGGG
rnacentral:rRNA from 1 species